AGAUGAAAAGGGAGAUUGCUCAUUUCUUUGUUCGAAAGUGGACACGGCUCACUACCAGUUCACUACCGCACCCUAGUGUCAAUGUCCAUUAUUUAAGGGGAAAUAGACGUAGUUUAGGAGGGAUUGUGCACUACUCCCCUCAAAAAGUGGAUACGCCGUACAGAGCUGAAAAUAUACGCAUAAGAUUUGCCAUGCUCGUGCCUAGGGUAUUCGUCUACAAGCGCUCCAUCUCGCGGCCGGCUUCGUGCAUCUCCUAAAAGAAGGGGCGCGUGUCGAGUGACGCAGUACGUGCGUGUGUGCGUGCUGACUGUCAGGCAAGCGAAUUCUAAAUUCACUCCUCGAGGCUCGGAAUCUUCGACGCUUCGAGACUCGGAGUCUUCGAGGCUCCGUGUGUUCGAAACCCAGACAAUCCACUCUUUUUUUCUUUGUUGUUUAUUCAUCUGAAAAAAUUCCAACACGUCCGUAGCAUAACUGGACACAUCUGAGAAUUAUUUCAGAUUUUUUUGUUACAAAAUGUAACCGUGAAAAAUAAGAAGAUUUUUAGGUUUGGUGCGUCAAUGCGAAAAAAAUCAAAAACUAUGUACGUCUCAUGUUGAAGUACGUAAAUGAAAGACGCGCUUCCAGCAGCGGCAACAGCGAAGGGGUGAUGACACGAGGU